rnacentral:rRNA from 1 species
AGUGAACGCUGGCGGUAGGCCUAACACAUGCAAGUCGAACGGCAGCACAGUAAGAGCUUGCUCUUACGGGUGGCGAGUGGCGGACGGGUGAGGAAUACAUCGGAAUCUACUUUUUCGUGGGGGAUAACGUAGGGAAACUUACGCUAAUACCGCAUACGACCUACGGGUGAAAGCAGGGGAUCUUCGGACCUUGCGCGAUUGAAUGAGCCGAUGUCGGAUUAGCUAGUUGGCGGGGUAAAGGCCCACCAAGGCGACGAUCCGUAGCUGGUCUGAGAGGAUGAACAGCCACACUGGAACUGAGACACGGUCCAGACUCCUACGGGAGGCAGCAGUGGGGAAUAUUGGACAAUGGGCGCAAGCCUGAUCCAGCCAUACCGCGUGGGUGAAGAAGGCCUUCGGGUUGUAAAGCCCUUUUGUUGGGAAAGAAAAGCAGCAGGUUAAUACCCCGCUGUUCUGACGGUACCCAAAGAAUAAGCACCGGCUAACUUCGCG